GAGACAAAGUCUCACCGUCACCCAGGCUGGAGUGCAGUGUCGCGAUCAUGCUCACUGCAGCCUCAAUCUCCUGGGCUCAAGUGAUCCUCCUGCCUCAGCCUCCCAGUUAGCUGGGACUACAGGCAUGCGCCACCGUGUCUGGCCUCUAUUCUUGCAAUUGAAUGAGAUGCUAUGAGGCGCUGAGCGACCCACAGGAAAGUACUUAUCAAAAGCUUUGUGUCAUGAGAAGAUGCGGCUGUGGAAGGAGGUUCAAAGCUUGCACACACGCACACACACACAUGCACAUGAUUUGGCUUCCAUAAAGCUCGAGUAGAAUAUUAAAUAUUGAGUACUGAGUUUUUAAUUGUAAACUUAAGAUCUCAUCCUUAACUUUACAUAUACAUAGAUAACAGGGUGGUCAUGAAAAGCACUUUAACAUCAGGACAGAUGUUAAGUUCUGAGGUUCUGUUUUCAACUGCUCUACAUACAAAAUGCCCUACAAGCAAAGAAAGGCUUAAAUAAAUAGAUGGGGAUGAACAUGAUGCACGCCGUGGUGACAUGAGUGGUGUGCAGGGGUCGGACAGUGCGGAACCCGGGUGGGCAGGAGCACAUUGUGGAGACACAAGUGGUGGCAUCUCUGGGAUGUAGGGGAGGAUGUGGGGGGCUCCUUCAAGGUGGAGCUAGCAGAGGCCAUGGCUCGGGAGGAAGACAGGACAGGGACAGUUUGUGGGCCAGUGCCACACGCUCUCCUAUUGGCUUCAUGGGCCUGGGGGCAGCCCUGGGUAGCAAAGGACAGGGCCAGGCUCUCCCCCUGGAGACCCAGAGAUGGCGGUGGUCCUCUUAGGACAAACCCUCACCAGCCCCGCCCUCUGACCAGCCUGUCACUGGUGCUGAUGUCAGGUGGUGGCCAGUGAGGAAGGGGGUUAUUGACAGCCCUGCCUGUGGCUAAGGCACACCCAGCCUGGGAGCCCCAAGCAGCUGACCUGAGCAAUCCAGCGUCCCUUUAGUCACAGACGCCAAAGCUCCCAGAGGCAGUUCCACUGAGUGAGGGUGACAAGACCUAAAACCACCACCUACCCUGCUGAGCAGGACCCCCACCCCCUGUAGCAGGGAGAGGCUCCUGGGCCCCAGAAGCUGGAGGGGGUGGUGUCUUGAGCCCUGACACCUGCUGCUGCUAUCUUGACCCGACCACCCGCCCCAACUCGGAAUGCCACACUGUGACCACUGGGGCACCUCCUGAUUAUCCAAGAAAAGUGGAUAAAACCAAACGCUGCUGUCUGGGCCCAGCGGAGGCUCCCUGGGGCCUGGCUAGGGUGCGGGUUUCACACUGUGCCCCAGAGACCCAGCAGGGAAGGUGAGGCGGUGGAGGGAGUGGGGGGACCAAGAGGCUGAGCAGGGAAGGCCACAGAUCUGCCAGGAAGAAAGUCCCUGGGCUCCAGAUCUCGGGGGCGGGGGGCCCGUGCCACGCACUCUAAGCUAGCUGAGGAGGUGAUCUUAAAUUUAGGAGACGAGCCCACUCCCCCGCUUCCUGCCCCUCAGCAGCCACAAGAUGGGGGAAGGUGGCUGGUGCAACAGGAGCCUCAGCUCCCAGCUCCAUCUCCACAGAUCUUCACCGCACACCCGUGUGCAUCCACAUGCACACCCGUGUUUACAAUCACCUGCACCCCCACGGCGGGAUGGCGAGUCCGGUCAAGGUGCAGAUGUUUGGAAGCUGAGUUCCUGGGUCCCUGAGGGUUCCUGACCAGAGGCCCCAGCUGCUGCAGGGACUGAUGCUGGAGAGAAAGCUGGGAAAAGUGCUGGGAUCUGUGCUUCGUCCCACACUAGCGCCAUUACUUCUUCCCUCCAAAUUCAGGCCAGAAACUGGCAUCCGGGCUCUGGAAAUUGCCUUGAGCAGAGGAAACACUCUACUCCCGCUCGGCAUCAAGGCCUGGGUGAUGGAGAGUCAGGCGUGGUGCCCCUGGGGCACUGCCUGCCCUGGCACACAGGAUUAGGACCUGCUGGAGGCCUGCACCCUACUCCUGGCCGACGUGACCCAGAUGCUGAGGCAGGACUGGCACUGAGGUCCACUCUGAAGGAUGGCUCUGGAGAGACAGCGCCUGUGUGCCACCUGUGAGCCUCUGCACUGGGGGUCCUGCUGCGAGGUGGGAACGGCUACCACCCCUCCUGGGAGGGCAGGGACUGGCCCCGCACAUUCCCAGGACUUGGAAGCUCUAGAGACAAUCAGGAAGGAAGCACGCCUCGGGGGCAGGCUUGAGUGCCGUCUGGGUGGAAGCCGGAGACGCGCAGGCCCUGCGGAGCUGGAUGGCCCCAUCAAGGCCUCACAGGAGGCUGGCCAGGCUGGUGUUGGGUCCAUUCUGAGCUUGGAACUGCACGGGGGGUGGACCGUCUGUCCACUGUGGGGAGGAGAGGACAUGCGAGUGAGGCACUGUGGGACAUGAGCAUGGGGGCCCGCCUUGCCCUGUCACUGCCCAGGCCCUCCCACUCGGUGCAGAUGGAGCCCUAAGGUCAAGUCCCAGCUGCACUGGUGGAUCUCUGGGUGCCUGGCACGUCACUGGACCUGAGCCCUGUCUUGGGAUCACAAAGCCCAUGCGCCAGCCGCCCUCAUAGGGCAGAACAGGGCUGGCUGGGCAGUGAAAGCCCAAUGCCAGGCUUCUCGCCAGCCCUCCAGGGAGCCCAUGGCCAGCCCUCAGGCAAACAGGCGCUCAUUGGGGCAGGACGCCCAAUGCCCAUCCUGAGGCAGCAGCCCCAGGCAGCCCACUGCACAUGGAGCACCCCGUCUCCUGUCACCUCCCCAGGGCCCCAGGCGAGUCUCCGGACCUUAGUUUCGUAAUCUGGAAAUGGGGGAGCUGCGGUAACAGCAAUGAUACCCGCUGAGUGCCCGCCCUGCUCCCAGAGCUAGCUGGCCAGCCCUACCCAAUAGGUAUGGCUGCUGUCUGCCUUUCCGGGAAGA
rnacentral:lncRNA from 1 species